GAUGAACGCUGACAGAAUGCUUAACACAUGCAAGUCAUUGGCGAAGCUGCGCUUGCGCAGUCUAGCCAAGGCGGACGGGUGAGUAACGCGUAAGGAACUUGCCCUGCAGACAGGGAUAACAGACGGAAACGACUGAUAACACCUGGUAUUGUCAGGUUGGCGCAUGCCGGCCUGAUGAAAGGAGACGCUGCAGGAGAGCCUUGCGUCCUAUUAGCUAGUUGGUGGGGUAACGGCCCACCAAGGCGAUGAUAGGUAGCCGGCCUGAGAGGGUGAACGGCCACAAGGGGACUGAGAUACGGCCCUUACGCCUACGGGAGGCAGCAGUGGGGAAUAUUGGACAAUGGGGGCAACCCUGAUCCAGCAAUUCUGUGUGCACGAAGAAGGUUUUCGGAUUGUAAAGUGCUUUCAGCAGGGAAGAAGAAAGUGACGGUACCUGCAGAAGAAGCGACGGCUAAAUACGUG
rnacentral:rRNA from 1 species